UACGGAGGGUGCAAGCGUUGUUCGGAAUUAUUGGGCGUAAAGGGCGUGUAGGCGGCCUCGUAAGUCUGAUGUGAAAGCCCCGGGCUCAACCUGGGAAGUGCAUUGGAAACUGCGAGACUUGAGUACGGGAGAGGGCAGUGGAAUUCCUAGUGUAGGAGUGAAAUCCGUAGAUAUUAGGAGGAACACCGGUGGCUAAGGCGGCUGCCUGGACCGAUACUGACGCUGAGACGCGAAAGCGUGGGGAGCAAACAGG
rnacentral:rRNA from 1 species